ensembl:lncRNA
GAACUCACUUUUAGGCUGAAGAACGAGGCUGAGUCUUGAGGUGCUUAAAAGAUUGGUUGAGUAAAUUACAACACUUAGCCGAGCUUUCCUCUGACUGCCACAAUCCUCAGCACGUGCAAGGUCAGAUCUUCACUGCAGAGGAAACCCAUUUAGCAACAUGCUAAUUUCCUUCAAGGAAAGAGAUUACUGAUCACAGUAGAUUUCUACAGCAGCCUGCCUACUAUCAGGGACCUGGAGAGAUGAAGGCUGAAGACACCAUAUGGAUAUCCCAUAAUGUACCUUGUGGGGGUGAUCCAGCCAAGCCAUGUGCUUCUUGAGCAAUGUCUUGUACCUAUGCCACCAAUGGUCUAUUAAUUUGCUGCAAGUCAGGGUUCCUUACCACCAUGUCUGCAGCUGGGGCGCUUGGGUCCAAGAAGAAGUUUGAAAUUAAGGCAUCAUGUGGUGACAUUGCCUCCUGCUACACAGCAAAUCUUUCUUUUCUGGUAGAAAUCUGCUCAUAACUUUCCACAUGAGCUUCCAAGGAAAGUAUUUCUGUUCUCUGAUUAGUGACUCUUCCACUUCAAAUACACAGUUGCUGGGGCUGGAAGCUGGUUGUUGGUGAAUCUGUACAUCCUUGCUGGAACAUUUGUCCCUCUCUUGUCCUGUCUGGGUACAUGCUGGAAAAUGCUGUGUCACCAGUCUGAGUGCCUGCAGAAACCAAGACACAAAGGAGCAGGUGUGAGAUACCAACCCUGUCCUGCACCCAAAAAAUCUGAAACAUCACAAAAGGUUUGCCCCGUGCUGUGUGUUGAGAGUUGCUUCAGUUUUGGCUGUGGUCCUCUGGGCAGUGCUUUUCUCCACAGAAUUUUUUUGCAUUAUCUACUUAUUUUCCUUAUUAUGAAUAACUGGUUGAGUAUUUAUGUUGCUUGUGGUACUCUACAUUCACAGUAAAAAGAGGAAAACAACAGACUUGAUGGAGUGGGACAAAGGUCUGGUGCCUGUAGUGAGAGUUCUGAACUUCUUAUUUUUUGAGAAAGACUUUAAUUACAUAUGUGUGAGCAUGUGUGAAUGUGUGAGGAAGAGAGGAAGCCUAGUACAGUUUAAAUGCUGUCAGAUGUUUUACAGCUUUGAUAUUGUUUUUUGCUUUUUAGUUUUUUUACUACAAAGGCAUAUAAAAUCAAGUGCCAUUUAGGCACAGGAUUUACAGUUACUUUAGUAUAUACCCUGAAAAUAUGCGUAUCUACAGGGGAUAGUAGUUCGUGGAGAAAACAAGUUAGUGCUGAGAAGUUCAAUUAUUCUCCUGAAAUAUCAAUAAUGUAGCUGGAAGAAAGAAAAAACAACAGGCCACUUCCUAUAUUGGAUGUAUUCUCAAAAUGUCUAUAAAGGCUUGCUGCCAGCAGCAAGAAAGUAAUAACUAUAAAUGUUGCUCAGUGGGAGGACUUAGUGAUAGAGCCCCUCUGUUUGAAAAUUUACCGAAGCCCUGUCAACACAGUGCUAACUUCCAUGGUUUUGCAUUUUGAUUUUGAUUAUUAUUUCUAUUAUUCUUGGCAGGUGCACGGGUUGGUAGGUGAACUCAGGGUCUCCCUCCUGGCUUGGCUCUCUGUCUUUUCAAGUCACUCGAUAUAAACUUGUAGUUUUCUGGCCCUGAGCUCUAAUGAAAUUCAUUUUAAAUAUACUGUUCUUGAUGGUCCCUAUAGCACACUUUGAGUACCUGUUGGAUCCUCUUAAAGAAAGCUUAAGUGUCAGAGUGAGCAGUGUAAUUGUGUUCUUUAAAUAAUUAACAAACUGUUUCUGCAAUUCCUUUUAAUUGACAGUUAGGGUUGAAUUCUUUAAUUAAAAAAAAAAAA